rnacentral:rRNA from 1 species
CACCAGGUUGAUUCUGCCUGACGAGGAUGCUUGUCUCUGGGAUUAAGCCAUGCAAGUCUGGUGAAGCGAAAGUGGAACUGCGAACGGCUCAGUAGAACGGUGAUUAUUUAAUCGUGUAGGAAGGAUAACCGCGGGAAACUGUGGCUAAUAACACGAGUAAGACGCCGACCCAUCAGUUUUAUCGUACGGUAAGGGCGUACGAUGGCUUUAACGGGUACGGGGGAUCAGGGUUUGAUUCCGGAGAGGGAGCCUGAGAAACGGCUACCAGGUCUAAGGACAGCAGCAGGCGCGAAACUUGCCCAAUUGGAGAGAGGCAGUUAUGAGACGUAUAUUUUGUAACCGGGGUAGAAUACCGGUGAUUGACUGGAGGGCAAGUCUGGUGCCAGCAGCCGCGGUAAUUCCAGCUCCAGGAGUGUCAUAGUGCAUUGCUGCAUUUAAAAGGUCCGUAGUCAGUGUUGACAGGGAUGCUAGAAGACACUUUCUUCAUGGAGUGUAUUGGCAUUCUAGGUUAGCAUGUAGGAGCGGAAGAGGGCGACUGUAUUGCGUAGCGAGAGGUGAAAGUUGACGACCUACGUAGGACAAACCGAAGUGAAAGCUGUCGUCCAGUACGUUUCCGGUGAUCAAGGACGUAAGCCGGAGGAGCAAAGGUGAUUAGAGACCCCUGUAGUUCCGGCCGUAAACUAUGCCAACUGGGUGUUACGUAGUGGUACCCACGAGAAAUCAAGUAUAUGGGCUAUGGGGAUAGUACGAUCGCAAGAUUGAAACUUGAAGAAAUUGACGGAAGGACACCACCAGGAGUGGAGUGUGCGGCUUAAUUUGACUCAACGCGGGACAACUUACCAGGGCCAGUUGUAUGACGAAUCUAUGAUGAGUACGACUAAGUGGUGCAUGGCCGUUCACAACAUGUGAGGUGACUUUUAGGUUUAUUGCUGUAAUGUGUGAGACCCUCAGCUACGGCGACUGGGGACUAUAAGUUUCAGGAAGGAGGGGGCUAUAACAGGUCUGUGAUGCCCUUAGAUGUUCUGGGCUGCACGCGCACUACAAUGUUAUUUCUAGGUAUAUUGUAAAGAUAAAGAAUAACUCGGUUGGGAUUGCGUUCUGUAAUGGACGCAUGAACCAGGAAUUCCUAGUAGUCGCGUGUCACUAACGGGCGACGACUGCGUCCCUGUUCUUUGUACACACCGCCCGUCGUUAUCUAAGAUGGUGCUAUGUUCGAAGAGGGUUUUCCUUCUGAGGACGUAGGAUUAGAUUGGAUACAAGUCGUAACAAGGUUGCUGUAGGAGAACCUGCAGCAGGAUCAGUGA